rnacentral:rRNA from 1 species
UACGUAGGGUGCAAGCGUUAAUCGGAAUUACUGGGCGUAAAGCGUGCGCAGGCGGUGAUGUAAGCCAGUUGUGAAAUCCCCGGGCUCAACCUGGGAACUGCAUCUGUGACUGCAUUGCUGGAGUGCGGCAGAGGGGGAUGGAAUUCCGCGUGUAGCAGUGAAAUGCGUAGAUAUGCGGAGGAACACCGAUGGCGAAGGCAAUCCCCUGGGCCUGCACUGACGCUCAUGCACGAAAGCGUGGGGAGCAAACAGG